UGAGUCAACUUACAGUCGAUAGUUAAAGUUGGCAAAAACCAACCUAGAAAUAGACGGCUUAAUGUCGACUUUAAUAGUCGGCUUUAACUUGACUGAAAAAAGUCGACUAUUAGCCGGCAAACAGUCAUUUGUGCUGUGUGUAACAAACUCACGUUUAAUAAUUACGUUUUAAUAUAAUACUUUUUAAUAUAAUAGAGAAACUCCUCUUUUUGAACCUGAAUCUUAGUAUAAAAAUAGAUAUAUUCAAUAAGAUAUAUUUCAUAUUUUCUGUCCUGAAACAGAUCAGUCAAAUUUACUCGGUGUCCGGCUCAUGUUGGCAAUGCGGGAAACAAAACUGCUGAAUUUGCAACUAAACAAGCCUCUCUAUCCGGAGUUUUUGAAGGUCUCACUAGAUCUGUACUGCUAUAUGCCUGGACUCUUUUCAUCAAUUGAGACACACUUCUGGACUUCGGAUCCCUUUUGACCCCAGGAAACACCAAAAGAACCAUAGUAUUGUGAUUUAUACGAAUCAGAAAUCUAAAGGCAGCAACAGCAGCAGCAGCAGCAAAAGAAGAAGAAGAAAAAGAAGAAGAAGAAAUGCUUGUACGGAGAGUGCUCAGUCAAUGUGUACGCACUUGCGUUAUUAAAGAAUUAGUAAUAUGUAAAGACGGAUGGCGAAUCAGGACACUACUUACACGCUGAGAGGUUAUUCACACACACGCACGCACACACAGCAGUUGCGAAUCCACAAAGGAAUCCUGAAACACACAAAUUGUAUGGAACACUCCGAAGUUGAUGCGCAUGGACCCAAAUCUCCGAGAAUUCAAUGUAGUAAUUGUAAAAGUAAAUUUAAGAAAUAGCAAACCAUUCAAUUUGACUCUUGUUAAGGAAUCCAAAAAGAAUCACCGCGGCUAAGUUUGAUUGCCCGAAAAUUCGCAGAGAUUAAAUUCUUACCUGAAAAUAUUUACCGAGAAUAACUUUUAAGUUCACUCCGAUAAAUUCACUCUUGCUUUCACAGCACAUGAACAUCCCAGUAAGGUUAUCAUAACUUAAAAUUGUAAGAUGAUAACAUUACCCAGAGAUUAAUAAACAUACAAUUAACCUCCCAAUAACAUGAAAAUGUUCGUCCAAACUCAUUCCAUUAACAUUCCAUAAAUUUUGCAAGGUACAUUGUAUUAAUAUUAUACAAUA